AACAGGACGAUUCAGUACACAAGUUUGCGAGGAAGAUAAUGGCUCUUCCAUUUCUACCAGCGACACACAUACACCAAAUGUAUAUGAAAAUCAACUCUGGUACCAAGACACGGGAAGCUGAGAGAACUGAUCGACUACGUUGGCCGACAGUGGAUAUAAUAUCCGCUAUUUGUUCCAUCAUGUUGGUCAGUCUACAACGUAACCGUCAGAACCAAGGACCACGUGGAAGGUUGGCAUCGACGGAUAAAUGCCAAUAUGUGACCAGCCAUUGGGUAUUUACGUCUCAUCCAUGAACUUCACACUGAGGUAUCCAUGCCGCUUAUACAGACACGCCUUGUGCAGGAAGGUCGCCUGCGCACAUAUCUCCGACAGCGUGUCACCAUGCACUAGGAGGAAAUCUUUGAGAAGCGGUGAAGAAUGUUCAUCACCUGAGAUGAAAAACGUUUCCAGGUUUUGGGAAUGAGUGCAUUCGUGUAGGGACUGGAGGUAGAUGCAGGUAUACGGCGCGGCAACGCAUCCAGGGAACUCGCGGUAUCGCCGUCACUCCUCAGCGCUUACCGAUGUACUCCAGUUGUUGAAGACCGAUUCCCCACCCCAAGACACAAUAAUUGGACAAUAACGUGUUGCAAAAAAUAACACGAUCGAUCAACUUAAUGUGAAUAACUUGCUUUAUGUGUUUCGUGACAUAAAUGUUUAUU